AGUUUUGAGCUAAAUAUAUUUAUAAUAUUAGUUAUUUAUGAAGGUGUUGUAAAAUCUUUAUUUAAAAUUAUAUUUAGGGGUGACAGGCCUUUCAAAAACUAAGAUAUCUUGAAUCUAAUUAAAAGUAUGUAGUACAAUUAACACAACUAUUAAGUGAUUAGGCUUUAUAGAAUUAUUAACUUAUAAGAUUUUAUUUACUAUAAUUUAAUAAUUAAGUAUAUAAAUAUAUUAAUAUUCAUAUAUUAUAGUUUAUAAAAGAGUAAUUAGAUAGAUUUAAGUUCAUAUUUCUUAUAAUAAUGUUAAUAUUAGUAUUAAGUUUAUAUUUAUAUGAUGAACUCGGCAAAAAUACUUCUCAACUGUUUAUCAAAAACAUAACUAUGUGAAUGAAUACAUAGCGGUUUCUGCUCAA
rnacentral:rRNA from 1 species